rnacentral:lncRNA from 1 species
CUCCCGCCCUUAAUUUUUAAAUUUUUUGUAGAGAUGGGGUCUCACUAUCUUGCCCAGGCUGAAUGGAGUAGGGUGCUUUGAAUCAAACUAGACAAUAGCCUAGUAUUACAAACCACAGCAUUCCCUUUUACAAAAUAAGAAGCAGGAAUAUGUGCCCAAAGUCACUUUUUCUCAAACUAAGUAACAGGUAUUUUGAAACAUAACUGACUGGCCAGUACCCUUGUGGUUAACUGAUACUCACCAGAUAAUGUGAUUUUAACAUAACUCCUUAAAACACAGCAACUCCUUAUAAAAUAUAACUCCUAUUCCACGUAGUAUUUUCAUAUAGACUCUAUAAAUUAAUCUUGAAGAUAAUGAAAUUAAAGAAUACACAGUAGUAACCCACUUAAUAAAAUGAAUAUAUUCAAUUAGAUGAAAAUGCAAUUUCUAUAGCAAAGCAAUUUUUCAUUAGUUUAUACUUAAAAUUUCAGAAAUGAUUUACCCUCAUUUCUGCUUACUAUUCAAGCAACAGUGAUUUCCAACAUUUUAAGCCUCGAGUUUUCUUGUGUCUCUUUUAGCCCAGGGUAGGAAGUGACUUUACAAACACUUAAGUACAUCAGAAGAGCUUUCUAUUUAAAGCAAUUCUUCAGUGAAAUCUUCUCACCAUUUACUUUACGAACUUUGCAUAUUCGGUUUUUUAAGUAUUAAAUUUCUUAAAAUUUGGCACAUUAGUAAAGUAAAAAUAGUAUGUGUCCCUAGAAGACAAAACAACAAAUAUACACCAGAAAAAUAAUAAGGUUUAAAACAUACAGGAGACACUGUACCCUCCACUAUAAAGAAUGCAAAAAUAUGAUAUGGGAUACCUAAAGAAAAAGAUUUUUCUUAUAAAUUAAAAUAUGCUCACAUCACCAUAUUAUAUUUUGAAGAAAGAUUAUCUCUAUUUUUGAGAUGACAGAUCUAAGGUUGUAAAGCAGAAUACUUGUUUUCAGCUCUCAGCUAUUAUUUUUGUCUGUAGUCUGCUGCACUAUCUUUCUCCUUUGCCAUAUGCAUUGUAGGUGGGAUGUUUCCUGUUGUUACUAUGUCUAGCUUUGCAGACUCAAUUUUCAAACAGUUUAUUUACUUCUCAAAGUGUGAUCCUAUAAUUGUGCUUUGCUGUCCCCAAGUCAAAGUAAGUAUUAGGAUGUGUACUCAGUUUUUCUAUUUAAUAUAUAUUUUUGAAACAAAAAUCAAACCCUUCGUUAACCUGGUAUAAUUUAAACAGUAACAUCAAAAACCAAAUUAAAAAAAUACAAUGGACAGUAAGAUAAAAUCACCUAACUUCCUUACAAAUCUUUAUCCGUUAGUUUAGUCAAAACCUUACAUGUGAUUGAUGGGAUAUGCUUUCUAACUUAUUAUAAACUCUUUUAUUAUCAGAUACAGUGAAGAUUAAUUCACAGUAAGAAGAUUACAAACUGGUGUUACAUCAAAACCAUCCCAGGAAAAAAAAAUGUGUCCUUAAUUUCCCCAAUCCUCAAGUUUUCUUUUUCUUUUCCUUUUUUUUUUUUUUGUCAGCAAUCAUAAGACUGUACUUAUUAAAUUCAAGGUAAUUAAAGAAAACAACCUUCUUUACCGAGAAAAAAGAAAAAAGAUACAACCCUGAAAAGUUUUUGUAGAGAUGAGAUUUAGGAACCAUAGUACCAACAUAGUUUGCUUCCAGGGACAUAAGACUCCUGUUUAGAAAUUUUGUAGAUGUAUGGAACUUAGCAAAGUCCUGAAAGAUUUAGUAAAUGCUAAAAGAAACUGAAAAGAAAUGUAUAAAACAAGCAUAAAAGAAGUUUUAAAAAUGUGAUUCCUCCUGUUAUAUAGACUACACUGAAAUCCAGUGUCUGGUUGAACUUUCUAGGCAUCCUGCCUGACUUUCUUCUCUUUCACAUUCCUGCUUUAUUUCUUAUGGCAGAUAUUAUUACACUAGGAGGCAGGGGACCGAGGUACCAGAUAUACCAGUUGUUAUAUAACCUUGGAUAAGAGACCUUUUCUGGGUCUCUUUCUCCUGAUCCAAAACAUUGAGAGAAUGAAAAAUUAAUGCUUUUAUUAUUAUCACCUAGAAAUGUUUGCUUUACAACUCAACUUGUAUCUGCAUUCUCUAAAUAGCUGAAAAGAACUGUUUGUUCUUUUGUAAUGUAUAUCACUCAUAAAUAUUUCCUUAGUAUUGGUCUUCAGUGGAAAGACUAUAAGCUCCAUAGUCCUUGCCUGUCUUAUUCAUAGGUGAAUAACUGGCAUACAGUAAGUACUUAAUAUUUUUAGAAUGAGUAACUGAAUUAAUGAACAUUUAUGCUUCUCUACAUCACUAUGAAAAACCUGAGCUUGCUUCUCAAGUCCUGGGACUUUCUGUAAAUGCAUUUUUCCUAACUGCAUUUAUAAUGCGAAUACACUGCACAUUCUGUUUUUUCUCUUUGAGAAAAAUUUCUGCUUAUGAAAAUAUUACUAUUCUCUUGAAUCAGGAUUUGAUGUCUCUUAGCAGCUGAUGUUAACCUUAAUAGUUUAAGAUGUCUCUAACUGUCUCAUUUAAAGAUAAUAAUAUUUUUCACAAGGCAUAACUUUAAAAAAGCAUAUGUAAAUAUAACUUGAUAUUUUUUAGCAGACAUUUAAAGUGGUUUAAUUACAUCAGGAUUUACAAAAUAAUAUGAGUUUUCAAACUGGGUUACUGGGUGAUUAGGUUUCCUGAUUCUAUGCAGAAUGAAUAUAUGAAAAUACCAAAAAAGAUUUUAGAACAUUUUGUAGAACUUGUUUAUAACAUUUAAGCAUUAUUUCAUAUGAAAAAUACCAGGGAUGUUGUGUACCAGAAUCCAGUCAAUACUUGGUUAUUUGAAACAAACAAAUUAUCUUUGUUUAGUUUUCUACAAUAAAAGUGGCCUUUAUGUAAAAAUCUCCAUUAAGUGUUUGCAAUUUUUAGAGUAGUAUACUAAAUGUUAAGUUUGGUUAUUUUGGAAGAGAAAAUUCAUUCUGCCUUUACAUAAAAACCCUACGUCUUAAGCAAUUAUGAGCAUAAAUUAUAAAUUUGAAAUUACUUUUGUUAUCUACGCAACCAUUUAUAAUUAUCUCUUUAAAAAUGCUUCUGAGUGUUUUGAUUGCCAAUAUUUAUUAUUUUCUGGGUCCCCCAACCAAACUGUUCAUCAGUUUCUUAAACUUAUGAGUUACACACUCUGUAAUAGUUUAAAUAAGAAAAAAUAAAAACCUAUUUAAAAUGUUCUUUAAUAUGAAAAUUAAAACAUAGAUACUGUUCACCUUAUAAAUCUAGUGCUGUUCAAAACCUCAUUGCUCACUAAUUUAUUCCCUGAAACUUGGAAUCACUUAAUAGAAAUGAAAUACUAAGAAUGACAGUUAAGUUUCUAGGAUGGCUCACAGGAGCACUGAGCCCAUAUAUAGUACUAGAGUACUGACUAUGAGAAAUAGGAGUUUUUGACCUAGUUCAUCAAAGAUGGAGAAAAAGCCAGUUGAUGGCUAAAAAAGAUAUUCAGCCCUUAAAUGUCCUAAGGGAUGGCUAGCCCAAUACUUAACUUUAAUUGUCUACACCCAUUUAAAUCAAACUUUUCAAGUAAUCUUUGAGUGAACCAACCUUAAGUAAGAGGAUAUAUCCAAAGCAGACACAAGCUAAUACAAUUUUAAACAACAGAAGAACAUAUCUUUACAUUUACUUUGCCAACUAAUGGUUUUGUUGUUUGAAUUCUCAAUGAGGAGAAUGUCAACUAAUAGUUUUGUUGUUUGAAUUCUCAAUAAGGAGAACAGAUAGCUUGGCUCAACACAUUGGCACAUGGAAUAUGUUGGGUUCUAAUUUUAGUCUUUCCACUGACUUUCUUAUUGCUAUACUUUAAAAGGUCCUAAACACUCUGUAUGUCUGUUUCUUUAUGAGAAACAACAAAGAUAUUUUUCCCACUAUCUCCCUCAACAAGAAGUAAAACAAUAAUGUAAAGAAUCUGGCAAAUGUAAAAAGACACAUAAAAGUGUCAUUUGAAAAGUCUGGUAUACAUUUCAAAGAACUAUAAAUAGAAUUUGUUUUAUUGUACCAAAUGAAAUAUUACCAAGUUAAAGAUUUACCAUAAUAUACUAGUCACUAUUUUCUAUAGUACAACUAAUAUAAAGACAACACAUAUAAUCACUAUAACAGUUAAUACUUUUGUGUCACUUAGCAUGAACCAGGCAUUUUUAAAGCAUUGUAUAUAUCUAAAGCAUUGAUUAUAUCUAAACUCACUAAAUAACCCUGAGGUGGACACAACUGACUAGGCCCAUUUUACUAAUGAAGAGACUGAGGCACAGAAUAUCCCAUAGCUAGUUAAGUGGUGGAGCAGGGAUUUGAAUCCAGACAGUCUGGCUCUAGGGUCCGUGCUCUUAACGUUUUUGCAAUAUUGCCUACCUAAUGUGAGGAAACAAAGACAAGGAAAGAAAAUAUAUUUACAUAUUUGUUCACUUAAUAACAAUCACCAAAACCAAUGCUGUAAGUUAUGAGAAUAUUUACAUUAACCAAGUUGGGGAGCAUUUAUUCAAAUUUCUCCACCAUCUGAGUUUCAUGUUUACAGAUGUCCACUUUGUGGGUCUUACUGUGUUGGCAAAGUGCAGAACAGCACAAAAAUGAAGUAUAUCAGUCCUCAGAAAAAUGUAGGAGUUCAAGAAAGCUUUAAAAUAGCUUUAAGAUUAACAGAUAAUUUUAUUUCUAAAAAAAGAAAAAAUUUUUAACGCAUAACAUACAGAUUAUAGAACAGUUAUUAAUAGUAAUAUAAUUUCAUUUUCCUUCUCGCCUUCUACUAUUACUAAUAGUGCACCCUGCUUAUUCAACGAAGACUUGCACAUAUCUUCCCUCUCUUAGAAUUAAUUCAUCUUUGUGAUAUUUUGUUAUUAAUAAAGGUAACAAUCCAUUUUUUUCAUUUUUUUUCAUCUACUAUGGUAGUAGAUGCUAUUAGUAAUAGGAGAGAAGGAAAAUGAAAAAAUUUAGUGAAUGUCCACAACAUUCUAGGACUUCAUACUCUAUCAUUCAUAGUCAUGACAACUCUGAGAUAUGCAUUACCAUACUAAUUUUACUGAUAAACUAAAGUUCAGAACUUUAACAGCUCGUUAAAGGUUCUAUAUUGUAGUAUUCAGUCUAUGGAGCCAAUGCUCAAACCCAGGAAUGUCUCUGAAAGCUCUACAGGUUGUCGCCUAUUAAUAAAAAGGGUAUAAUGUUUAUCAUUGGUCAUCUGUGAGUAAUAGUAAUUAGAAGAGUGUAAAAACAUAUUGAUAAGCUCAGCACUUAACUUUAAAAAUAAUUUUCAUGACCUUUCUUUCUCAAAGCCGCUAAGGAUGCAACAAAAGAAAAUGAUGUUUGUCUCACUUUUGUAUUCUUCACGUUAAAUUUUUGGGUAGGUGUUUAUAAGCAGUGAAAUAUGAAGAAACACUUCAUUAAGUAUGUUCCUCAGAAUGUUUGUUUGUUAUAAUGAUAAAAUAAGAUAAUGUCUACAAGACUUUUAGCACAAUGAGUGGCGCAAAGUACUCAAUAAAUGUUAGUGACCAUUAUUAGAAGUUCAGAAGAAUUACAUAUUAAGACCCCUUGAAAAAAUAUUGCAGUAAAAAUGUUUAUCCAGCAUUCGUUAAUCAUAAUCAUGGUUUUUAAACCUUAUUUGAUGAAGCAGCCUUUUGGGUUUUUUCAGGUGCGAGGAUAAUCAUACCUAUUAAGUUAUCACAGAACUAGAGGACCUUGGAAUACGCUUCGCUAAACAACAGUAGAAAGCUGUAAAAUAGAAGAAACGUAUCAAUCCCUGAAAAAUGCACAAGUGAAACUUCAUUUCUAUUUAAGAGAUGCCAAUCUGCUGUAAAAGCAUGGUCUGCUGUACCUGAGAAUGCGAGAAAAUUAAGUUCAAGAUCACCUGAUGAAGUACCUUCAUCAAUUUUCAACUUCAAGCAUUGGCAGAAUUCAUCAACUGUUAUGUGGUACGCUGUUUAUUUAAUGAAGACUUGUACAUAUCUUCCUUGUCUCUUACAAUUUAUUACAUCUUUGUGAUAUUUUCUUCUUAAUAAAAGUUGCUUAAUCAAUUAUUUUUUAUAAUGCUCUUAAUAUUUUGGGCAUUCCUUGAAUUUUCAGUUAUUAGAUUGUUAAUUACUUAAUACAGACAGAAACUAGUGUCCAAAGAGGCUUAAAACUUAAGAUCAACCUGAAAUGAAGAUAAUUUAUUGACAAUAAGUUAAAAGAAAAAUAAGAAUUAAAAAAUUAAAUUUCUUCAACUUCCUCUUUAAAGUAUCACUCCAAGUGAUGCACACUAAGAUAUUCAAAGCUAACAUUAUGGCCUAAAAUAGUACAACUGAGCAAUUUAUAAUCACUUCUAACUGUAUGAAAUCACUCUCAAUAUAAUCAAAAUAAAGUUGGCAUCUGUAUUGCUGACAUUUGGUAGCUCUGCAUUUCUUACCAGUAUAUAAUUUUUUAAAUGUUUAUAUUCUAACAACUGACACGAAUAUGUGCUAAAUUCAGAACAAAUUAUGAAUGUGAUACUUCUACUCUCCUUCUACCUUGGUUUGCUCGACAUUAUCACUCUGUUCUAUAUCUAGGUGCCAGCUAAGGAUCUUCUAAGCUGUCCAGCUGAAUGUGUCCCUCACCAUCAUUUGUUAGAAUCUCUUGCACCAGCCUAAUGCACUUGAAUUGCUGAGGUUUUAAGGUGAGAACAAGAAACCUUACAAGGACUUGGAAUGGCAGUAUUGAUGUUGGGAGAAAAACUUGAACUUGGCACAGAUUUCUGCUUAAGUGCACUAAUUACAUCUCAGAGAAAGGUAAAAAAUUGUUCAAAUUUAUAACAGAAGGGAAAUAAGAUCAUAUUGUUUACUGCUAUAAAGCUUUUUUAUUUCGGUAUGUAAAUGUCUACUUUUGCACACAGUUGAUAAUUAAAAUUUUACAGAACAAGUUUCUACAUAUGCAAUGCUUCACUGUCACUAAAAUAUAUGUUUUAGCUUUAACCAUCAAGAAAAUAAAAAAUUAGAAGUAUUAUCAUGUCUUUAUAAUAUUUUUGCCAAAUAUCCUUCUAGAUUUAUAUUUCUUCAAUCCUUUCUAGUUGAUCAAAUUGCUGUUUUCAUAUUGCCAGUCUGAUCACAAAAUUGCUGCUUUACAGAAGAAUAUUUUUUGCUGACAUAAAUUAUGGGAUCAGAGAUACCAAUGCAGUUACAAAAAAAAAAAAAAGGGUGUGAGGGAGAGAGAGCGAGCGAAAGAGAGUGUGUGUAUAUGCAUGUGUGCAUCCAUCUUCAAGGAAAGAAUAAAGAAAUGUAUAUAUGAAACAAAAUAACACUUUCCAAUAUAAGCCCUAGUAAAAGGCCUACAUCAGAAACAUACUUUCUAACAUUUGUGAAAUAAAAUACAGCACUGAAUUUUAAAGCUAUGCACUAAGAACACAUUAUACAAAAAUGAAGUGAUUUUUAUCAAUAUUGUUAUUCCAUAAACUUAAAUCUGGAUUUACCUUUCAAUUUAUAGCUAACUGAAAUUAAUAUACUAACUAUAAGUUCAUGAUUUCUUUGACUCAUGAAAACAUAUUUUAGAAAUUUGUGUACUUUUACAUACAGUGGGCAAUUUGGUUCAGAACCCCAAGAGAAAUUGAGAUGAAAAACUCAUCUCAAUUUACAACAGUAAAUAAAUAAUUCAGCUAAAACUGAAAGUGGUACCAAUCCAGCAAACUAUUGAUGGAGAGGUUUGGCCUUCCAUGCAGCCAGAACAACAUAAAGUUUUCAAUGGGGAUUACUUGUUCAGACAAGUUACAAAGAUUACAAAUAUACCCAGAUUAAUUAUAAAAUAGCUAAUAUUCUCAUCAUAUGGAAAAUAAGUAUCAGGAACGUAUGUGGGAACAGACAAUAGCAGUGGCAUUUAAACUUUAAGCAUUUUAGAGCUUUGGACUUUAUAUACUGAUAUAUGAAACAGACAUUUAACCAAAAAAAAAGCAAUAAUGCAAGUCAAAACCUAACCAAAGGCCUCUACCAACUAAAAAUUUGAAAUUUUCCAUGGAAGUCAGACAAAACGAAAAAAUGGAAAAUGAAACCCUUAAAGCAAAAACCAAUCAAGUCUUCCAACACUGAAGUCAAUAUCCAAAUCUCAUACAGGACCAAAAAGGGGAAAACACUCAGGUCUACAAAUGGAUAAGCAGUUCCAAUACAAUCCAGAUCCCGACAUUUUCCCACUCAGAAACAAAUGCAGUGGAGCUUUUCCUGGAGAAAAAGAGCUCUCCAAUGAAUUUUUUUUAAGUGACAUCUAGAAAGUGUGCCUCUUUCUGUCUCUUUCCCUGGCGCCUCAUUGGAGGAAGGAGGGGGUUGUUUUUGUAUUCUCCCCCACUGGAGCAAGACACAAUCAGAUGUUAGAUGGAGGAGAGAAACCACUUUUGACAACAGCAAAUAAAAAUAAAAGUGCCCUUCCUCCCCUGACAGGAUGGGCA